rnacentral:lncRNA from 1 species
AUUAAAUGGCAAUUUACUGUAAUUUCGUGAUUAGUUUAGUGAACUAUAUAGUCUUGCGUAGUGACACAAACAAAUGUCAACUCUCCUAUACACUCAAUACUAACUCAUGAUGUUGUCAACUAUAGUAUAUAUGUAAUAAAUACUUGAGACUAAGAGGAAUGGGAUUUGAUAAUGGCUUAUUAUCUGGUACUUCUGAAUUAGAUAUAAAAAAUAAUCUAAAAAACUAAUCAAAAUAGUCUGUAUAAAUAACACUAAUAUAUAUACAUGAUAAAUACAUUGUCUUUUAAAUUUUGUUCCCACUAGUGUGGAACUAUGGUGGAAAAUACAUGUGUGGCAAAAGCAGUGCAGGGUUGACGUCAUACCUUAGUUUAAAAUCUGCUAUUAUCCUGAACCUAAAUGGAUUCAACUUUUAUGUGCCAGUAAAAUCUGUUGAGGUAAUGCCCAACAAUGAAAUCAAUGCAUUUUGUGACAUUGAAUUGUUGGCAACUUUGAGUCAAGAUGGUGGGACAUUGGAUAGCACAUGGAUGGGAUAGUGUAAUGCUAAUGGAAACAAUUAGGUAAUAUCCAUUUUUAUACAAUAAAAGGAAUGAACAUUAUAAAGACAGUGCAUUAACAGUGCGAUUUCAAUAUUUUCUCUUCUUUGAUUUUGUUUCCUCAUUUACUGCAAUAUAUGAUUGACACCAAAGAUAGAUUGGUUCAAGCACUAGAUGCAGUAACAUACUGUAAAAAAUUAAGCACUUGACGGCAGAUACGAG